CAACGCUACAAGGGGAGGGUUUAUCUCGAUUAUCCUAAGGGGAAACCAGUUCCGUUUUAAAGACCUAGUGAUUAAUCACUUAGCUUUCUUGUAUGCAUAACCUCCUCUAGUUGUGUUACCUUUAGUCCUGUACGAUAUUCUCCCUCUGCUAAACGUAGACGAGGAGAGGUUGCUAGAACUCGAGUCCGGAGCUUCUUCUUGCUUCAUCAAAUAAAAUUUCUGUGAUUUAUAUAUUAUAAUUUUCUAUUUGGCUGGUCAAGUAUGCAUUGUCAUAAAUAUCACUCUGCUUCCCUGAUUAUUACCUUAUUCACCUAUUACUUAGCAUGAAAUAUUGAAAGAUUAAUGCAGUCGGAAGCACAACAAUAUAGCUGCAAGCAUAGAAAGACAAAAGAUAAACUGAAAUAAUGUUAAAACACUGAGAAUCCUAAAACCUUAUUUCUAAAUUAUUAAUUUGAUUAAGUUUACCUUCUAAAGAGGUUUACAAUCUCUUUCAUAGACUAGAAAAAUAGGCCAAGAUUCGAAACAAAAUCAGAAUCCCAAAACAUAACGGAAAAUAACAUAAAAUUUAAAAAUAAACAAUAAAUCUGCGAAAAUUAAGGAAAAUAACAAAAUUAUCCCAAAUAAUAACUAAUUAGCCUACUUUAUGGAGAUACAAUGCUCUGAUAACUAUUGAGUGGUUUUUAAUGGGAAAACGGUUUGUAGAAUCUUCUAUAAAAAUUUAAACCUGAUUUAACGGUUAGAAUAUCUCCUGUUAUCAUUAUUUUAGGCUAUUAUUCUAGUCUUGCGAGAUCAUGCUUUCUCUUGGCCUAAACAUCUUUCACUAGUACAUGAACAUAUCUGUUAGUAGUCCGUUUAGGGCAAACAAAUAAUUAAUUUGCUGUUCAAAUGCUUUGAAGCUCUUCAAGGUGUGAUUUCACUGAAUAAUUUCGAGUUUAGAAUUAUCACCUCAUUUUAGAAUUGUCCCGAGCACAAGGAUAAAAUGAUGAGCCAUGGGAAGCGUCUCCGAUAAAGAAAUAAUAAACGGAGUUCAAGGUAAAACAAUAGCUUAGAAAAAAAAAGAGUAGAAAUUUACACGAUAUCUAAGAAUAUCAGCGAUCAUGACCAUGAUUGGAUCAUUUCUGAGUUCUACAACCAAAAUUUCCUUCACAUCUCUUUAACUAAGCUGAUAGUCCAUGAAGAUUUAAGGAAAAACAUGAUUCCCAAUCCGAGCCAUAUGAGCAAGUGUAUCUAGUAAAAAUAUCUUAUCUCCCAUGAAAAUGAUAUUAGUAAGCCUCCCUCUGAAGCAUUGCUUUACACAUAUCUUUUACAGAAAAAAGAGAAAAAUGGGAAAUGCUCCGAGUUAUACCUUUUCUUGAUCUUUCCCAAUCCUUCAUUAUAAAUGGGACCCAUCAAAAACAUGAGAUGUGCUUUAACUUCCUCCAUAUUUCAUCUUAGCCUAGAAGGAUAAACAAGAAUAUUAUUGCUUCUGAAACAUAACGAUUGCAAGCAUCGCCUUUCGGUGAACUUUAGAUGACAUGAAACUGCCACAAAUUGGGUCCUAUCCGAGAGAGUUUUCUUUUUCUGCUCUGUUAUCACACAUAUACAACUGAAAUCUUUAAGUCCUCUUUAGGGUAUCCCUGAAAGAAAAUGAUCUAUCAUGCAUGGAAAGUCCUGAGGAAUCUGAGGCAUCACUACAUGAAAUUCAACCAACGGAAUUGCCGACAAACUGUUUCUUUCGGUAUUUUGCGGUGAUAUUUACCGACCGAAUUACUUCCCUUGCUAAGACCGUCGGUAUAUACCGACAGAAACAUUCCGUCGGUAUAUAUCGAGUGAAUCCCAGAUAGAAUAUAAAGAAUUUUAAAAAACAAAGCAGUGCAAUGACGUGGAAGUUUUUGUGGAUGAUGUUACUGACAGAAUUACAGAGUGAUUCAAACUGGGAUGUUCGUACAGUGACGUGUUUACUUCACCGACAGAAUGGCCGAUGGAUUUACAAACAGAAAUAUUAUGUCGGUAAUUCCAUCGGUAAUAGUUAAUAUAUUGAAUGUUUUUUUAGUGUUUACUUGUUUUAUUAUUUUUCUCAAACAAACUUGUAGUAUGGAUUUAUAAUUUUGUACUUGGUAUGGUUUGUUUUAGAUUUUGUAAAAUUAUAUUUGUUUGUAAAUUGUUGAAAUUUAUGUCGAAUUACCGACUUAGGUGUGUUGUGAUGAAAUAAAUAAUGACUUGUUUGAUGGGUCCGUUUUAAUUUUUGUCAAUUUUAUUGCCAAGUUGUAAUUUCUGUAAAUUAAUGUGUAUAAAUUUGUAUGGACGUAGAUAAUUGAUAAUGAAUUUUUGAGAGAAGUUUGAAAGUAAGUUGGAAAUCUUGAGCUAAACCAAUAUUUUUGCAAAUUUAUUUGCUUAACGUAGUUAAUUAAUACAUGUUGUCAUCAUUAUUUUAUAGAGGUUUGAUAGAAGUCAUGGAUGAUCAUUCAUGGAUGUAUCGAGAUUCACCUUAAGAAUUGCGGAGGAUGGAUUAUUAUAAUAGGGUUCAGAGUUUUAUUAAUUUCGCAACAUCUAUUUCGAGAAAUUUUAGUGGAGACGGUAUUAAGUGUCCAUACAGGAGGUGUAAAAAUAAAAAGUUUUUGCAUCCAGAUGUUGUAACGAUGUAUCUUCUACACAAAGGGUUCAUGGAGGAUUACUUGUGUUGGUAUGCACACAAAGAAUUAUUUGUUCGUAACAAGAGCAUGGUAGAAAGGAUGGUUGGGUCAACUUCUAGUGCUAGCAAUGUGCAUGGAGUUGUAAAUGACAAUAGUAAUCCUUACAGGAAUAUGGUUAUGGAUUCAAUGAGAAUGAAUCAAGGUAAUGCUAGUCAAUGUCCAAUUGUAGAAGAAGAACCUAAUGCAGACGCGGCCAUGUUUUUUGAUUUGUUGAAAGAUUCUGAUGAACCAUUAUGGGAUGGCUGCACAAAUCACUGUAAAUAAUCGGUCGUUGCACAUGUGUUCACUAUCAAGUUGGAUUAUGGGUUGAGUGAGGCCGGUUAUGACAAAAUUAUCGAAUGGGCAAGAAGCAUUCUACUUGAAGGGAACAAGCUGAAAGAGAACUUCUAUGCUACUAAGUCCAUGAUGAAACCCCUCGGUUUAGGAUACUAGAAAAUUGACAUGUGUCCAAACUUUUGCAUGAUGUACUACCUUGAAAAUGCUGAGCUAACCGAGUGCAUGGCAUGAGAGCAUUCCCGUUACAAACCCAGAACUGGCAUGAGAAAGACUCUUAUGGCAUAUAAAAAACUUAGAUACUUCCCAAUCACGCCUAGACUGUAGAGGUUAUUCAUGUCACCAAAGACUACUGAGCACAUGAUAUAGCACCAAUCACUUGAUGCAGUGGAUGGAGUGAUGGUGCAUCCUUCUGACGGUGAAGCAUGGAAACACUGUAACAGUGUGCAUUCUCAUUUUUCAGCUGAAUCAAGGAACGUGCAUCUUGGGUUAUGUACAGAUGAAUUCAACCCAUUCAGGUCAUUUGUUGAUCCUUAUUCUUGUUGGCCGAUUAUACUCACGGUUUACAACUUACCACUCUUAUGGCAACAGUUGCUCCUUCUUCACAAUACUUAUGGAACAAAGACUUGUUAAGUGCUUGACUAACGGACUGUUUUUCUCAAAGCUUUUAGUUUGGUUGACCUGAAACUUUGUUUUCGUAGCAAUCCCCAUCAACGGAAACUACGAUCAAAUUGUGUACAAUUUGGUUAUCUUGAAAUCGCAAUCUAGUGAUUUGCUUAAUCCAAAACCAAAAUCAAUGCCAAAGUUCGGUCAACCUGAGAUCCCAAUUUGGCGAUCCGCUUUAACUAGAACUAAAAUAUGAAAAGUAGCUCGGUAACCUGAAAUCCCAAUCCUGCGAUUCACUUUAACCAGAACCUUGGUCUUUGUCGUUAAGUUGGUCAAUCUAAAAUCCCAAUACGACGAUUCUCUUUAAUAAGAACCAAAAUGUCGCCUUUAGCUUAGUUAAUCUAAAAUCUCAAUCUAGAGACCCCCUUUAACCAAAACCUUGGUCUUUAUCCUUAGCUCGGUCAACCUGAGAUCCCAAUCUAGUGAUUUCCUUUAACCAAAACCAAAAUGUCACCUUAAGCUUGGUUAACCUGAAAUCUCAAUCUACAGAUCCCCUUUAAUCAGAACCUUGAUCUUUGUCUUUAGCUCAGUCAACUUGAGAUCCUAAUCUAGCUAUUCCCUUUAAUUAGAACAAAAAUGUCACCUUCAGCAUGGUUAACCUGAAAUCUCAAUCUAGAGACCCCCUUUAACCAGAACCUUGGUCUUUGUCUUCAGUUCGGCAAACCUAAAAUCCCAAUCUGAUGAUUCGUUUUAACCAGAACCAAAAUGUUGCCUUAAGCUUGGUUAACCUAAAAUCUUAAUAUAGAGACCCCCUUUAACUAAAACCCUGGUCUUUGUCUUUAGCUCAUUCAACCUGAGAUCCCAAUCCGACAAUCCUAUUUAACUAGAACCAAAAUGUUUCUUUCAGUUUGGUUAACCUGAAAUCUCAAUCGAGUGACUCCCUUUAAUCAAGCGAUUCCCUUUAACUAAAACCAAAAUGUUGCCUUCAACUCGGUUAACCUAAAAUCUCAAUUUAGAGACCCCUCUUUAACUAGAACCUUAGUCUUUUUUUUUUAGCUCGGUCAACUUGAGAUCCCAAUCUUAUGAUCCCAUUUAACAAGAACCAAAAUAUUGCCUUCAACUCGGUUAACCUAAAAUCUCAAUUUAGGGAACUCUCUUUAACUAGAACCUUAGUCUUUUUCUUUAGCUCGGUCAACUUGAGAUUCCAAUCCUACGAAUCUUGAAACAUCAUCCCCUUCUUAGUCCUACUUUGAUUUGCCAAAAAAAUGGAAAAGAAUGAAUGAUAUGGUGGAGAACUAGACCGGUCUUUACCAUUGGCUAGAACCAACCAUAGGCUGCUUAGAAAGCAACCUUCAACACCUAAAAACAAACCACCACAUAACAACCCUGCAAUUAUCAACAACAACAUCUAGUUCUAGCUACCUAGUCUAUGUCAAAGAAUAGAAUCUGAGGCAACUUUUUGACCAAAAUUCCAUUCUCUAUUAUUCCUUCAAUAUUGGGGUUUAAUGCAAGCAACUUGUUUAUUCGGAUUUGAGAUGUAAAUAGAUUUUAAUUUUGUUAGGAUGAGGUGGUCAGGUUGCGUCACAUUGAUUAUGUCAUGAAGUUAACUAGAGUAAGAAAUAAAGAUAUCAAGUUUCGGAGAGAAUCAAGAUCAGUUAAAGCAAAAAAAAAAAAAAACAGAUUAUGAAAAUAAAUUGGAAACGAAAAGUUUAGUUAUAAGGAAUUAGAUUCACAAACAAAUUUAAGUCUCAUCAAUUCUAGGAAACAAGUUGGAAGGAAUCAAUUUUACAAAAAUUGACCUUCGCACUAGAGAGAACCUUCGAGCCACUUCAAAUGUACUGAAGGCCAUUUGUUUGCCAUAUGUGCUAAUUAAGAACAUAAUUCUAUUCUUUUGUGAGUUAAUAUUCUGUAAAAUAAGCUUGGAAUAGCUUGCGGGGGCUUGGCUCAGAGAUCAUUGAGUUUUUACUACAAAUUGCCUUUUAAUUUUUUUCCACCUGUAAUUGGAUUCGAUAAGUUUCCCUUUUGUUUACAUAUGAAGAACAAACAUUGCUUGAGGUUAUCCAAUGCCGAGAUCAAGGUCAGAUAAUACUAGCGAACCCCUAAUCAGGAUUAAGAAGCAAAAAAAAUGUUAAGUGCAGCUUAUCCAAUGCCGAGACCAAGGUCAGAUAAUAUCCUGAUUGUGCUUAUUGCCAUUAAUUAGAAACUGCAAUAUCGUCACAUAAUUAAACUGAGAUUAUUCUGAUUAGAGAACAGAAGGAAUCUUCUUUCAUAAUUGGCUUUUGCGAAGGUUUAGUGUUUUUGCUGCUACUGCUUUUGGACCUGACUUGAUUCCUGAUCGGUCGAAAAAGCAUUAGUCCAAAAGCAGGGAAGCUUUUGUUUUCUUUAAUCACAUGAUCAGAUAUUAUAAUUUAUGCCCAACACAAAUUCAUAAAAGUGGCUCUAAGAUUGGCUGACAACAGUUGUUAAUGAGCAGUGUUUGCAUCCCUUAUUUUUCAGUUUACUAAGUAUUUAGAACAUUCAAUUCCAAUCCAAAGUCGAUAAUAAUAAACUCUUGGUAAUGGUUUUGUCAUCGAUGGUGAUCGGACGACAAAAAAACCAGUAAAAUUGUUUUAUAUAAAAAGUUUAUUAAGUAUUGAAAACAUCCAAAUCUAACAUGUUUUACUUUUUUGUGUUUAAAUAUGAUAUUAAUAAACUUUUGGUGAUAUUUUUUUUUUCAUUUUGUGAUGCUUUUAUCGUCAGUAGUGAUAAGAUGAAGAAAAGCUAUUGAUUUUUCUCUCAGCAAUGGUUUGUUUUAUCGUACACAAAUGUUGGGUGCUUUUAUUUACAAAAAGGAGUACUGUCUACCAUUAUUCAUUCCACAGCUGUUGUCAACCAAACCUUUCCUUUCUAUAUAAAGGUGGCUUGGCCUCCUACAUAUUAGCCAAAGCAAGAAAACCAACAAAACCUAUAAACAGCUACUUGUCUUUGUGUGUUGAUUAAUUGUAGUUAACAUGGCACGUCAGGCAGAUCGUCUUGUUAAGAUUGGGCAGGAGGGUUUUGCAACCAUUGAUGAGCACUUCGGCCGGGCCAAGAGGCGGCCACCAGUUAUGAAGGUUCCCUAUGCUCAUCCCACAUAUUACGAUGUUCCUGCAACAGAAGUUAUCAACAGCAACGAGGCAGCUCAACGCUACAAGGGGAGGGUUUAUGUCGAUUACCCUAAGGGUAAACCAGUUCCGUUUUAAAGACCUAUUGAUUAAUCACUUAGCUUUCUUGUAUGCAUAACCUCCUCCAGUUGUGUUACCUUUAGUCCUGUACGAUAUUCUCCCUCUGCUAAACGUAGACGAGGAGAGGUUGCUAGAACUCGAGUCAGGAGCUUCUUCUUACUUCUUCAAAUAAACUUUCUGUGAUUUAUAUAUCAUUUUCUAUUUGUAUGUAUUGUCAUAAUUAUCUUUCUUACUUCCUCAUUAUCACCUCUUACUUAGCAUGGAAUUGAAAGAUACAAUAUGCUCUUGAAAUGCUUUGAAGCUCUUCAAGGUGUGAUUUCACCGACUAAGUUUGGAACUGUACAGAGCUCAAUGAUGAGCCGUGGGAGGCGUCUCUGAUUGUUGCACUGUAAGCAUGAGUGUACGUAUGAAUAUAACCAGCAGAUCCGCAAACCACAAGUGAUGACAAGCUUCUUAACACUGCUGCAUUUAACAGUUUUACCAACAAAAUGUUUUGUCGGUAUUUACUCUACCAUUCCGUCAGCAUGAAUUUUAUCGACUGAUUUACGGACGGAAACAGUCCAUUGGUAAAUUCCUCUUGUCAGUAAUUUCAUUAAUGUCGGUACAAAAAAACCCGAUGGUUUUACAAAUAGAAAAUGCAAGCCAAUUUUUUUUCCACUGGAAUAUACAGACGGAAUUAUUUCUUCGGUGAUUGACAGUGGCAUAUGGAGUAAUUUUAUUCCAAACCCUCUAUAAAAUACCGAAGGAAUUAUUCCAUCGGUGAUGUAACAGUUGAAAUGGCAUAUGCAGUAAUUAUUUUUCAACUCUCUGGAAUAUAACGACCAACAAAGUUUGUCGGUAACUUCGUCCGUAAUAAUUAAAAAAUAUAUAUAUUUUUAAAAAUUAUUUAUUGAACAAAAAAAGAAAAUAAUAAAAAAUAUAAAAUUGUAUAAAAUUCAAGUAUGUAAAAAUAAAUUACCUUAGUAUAAAAGCCAAAUAUUCAUUACAAAUUUAUAUGUUCAAAUAAAAUUAAACUAGAAAAAUGGCGGCGUUGGAGGAGGCUGAUCGUUCCCGGGACCAUAUGGCCAAAAAGAGUGUCGCACGUGACCCGCGCGGCGUCCGAUGGUGAUUUUUUCGUUAUGCGUUUGCUUGAUUGGUUCGUUGGGAGUCGCCACCUAGUAUUUAAUUGAGGGCAACUAGGAAACCCGGGUGUACUGGUCUUGUCAGAGAUUCACGGGUAAGGGACUGGUUGUGGUUAGGGAAGGUAUUUGCACCCCUAACGCACCCUACCUGAGGUAAGCUGCUUCGUGGCUUUGAUGUGAUAAAGAAGUUUUAAAAAUUUUGUUCUUUCAUCGGGUAUUAGAAAUACGACUUACAUGUAAGUUCAUAAUUCUUGACCGUGAUCAAAUCAAAAUAUUAAAUUCUUCUUUAUUCUUUGCAAUUUUAUCAUAAAAAAAUACAUUUAUAAAAAAAAAACUACAAACAAACACAUUCACUUUCACUAUAUUUUUUCUUUUUUUUCUUUUUCACAUCUAUAUUACAAAAAUUCAAAACUAAACAAAAAUUACAUUAAAUAAUUUGAAAUUACAAAAAUAGCCCAAAAACAAGUCCAUAACAGUGCUAGGAAGCUUUCUGGAACUGCAUGCAGUGCUGAAGAAGGUUCCUGAACAGUUGAACAGUGCGCAACCGCCACUAGCGUCGCGUGGGCUCACGCGCCGCCGCGAGAAAUUCCAGGCAGUAGGGGGCGCUGCUGUGGCUUCCUCCCCUCUUCACUUCCCUACCGGCGGUUAGGGUCUUCAUCAACUGCAAAAGAAUAAAACACCCAAACCAGUUGAUUUUAAUUUUUCUUUCUUUUUCAGAUUUAUUUCGGUCUUCUCCUUUUCAUAUCUGCUUCACCGCAGAUCUUUCUUUGGUUUACAUCUUCUUCUCCUUCGCUUCAGGUGGCCGGCAGUUGGGUGGCGACGACACUGGAUUCAGGUUGUUGCUUUGGCCGCUGCAAUUGGUGGCUGAAGGAAAUGGCGUGGAUCUGUGGGCUGCCGUGUGCUGGCUGUUGUGGCUGACGGUGUGGAUAAAACGUGGAUUUGUGGUCUCUGUCUUUAGCUCGGUCAACUUGAGAUCCCAAUCUGGCCAUUCCCCUUAACUAGACCAAAAUGUCACCUUCAACUUGGUUAACCUGAAAUCUCAAUCAAAAGACCCCUUUUAACCACAACCUUAGUCUUUUUCUUUAGCUCAACCAACCUAAAAUCCCAAUGUGGCGAUUCCCUUUAACUAGAAUCAAAAUAUCAUCUUCAACUUGGUUAACCUGGAAUCUUAAUUAAUCUAGAAACCCCCUAGGCUUCCUAGGCUUAGACUUGUGUGGACUUAGUGCACUAGAUUCUUUUUUGUUUAAGUUUUGUUGGUUGAAAAAAUACUUCCUAAAAUUAUUAUUAUUGUUAUUGUUUUUGUUAUUAUUAUUAUUAUUAUUAUUCAUACACAGUUAUAUUUAUGAUUAUUAUAUGGUCAAUUUGUCUAUGUCAAAGAAUAGAAUCUGAGGCAACUUUUUGACCAAAAUUCCACUCUCUAUUAAACCAAAAUGUUUAAUGCAAGCAACUUGGUUACUCGGAUUUGAGAUGUAAAUAGAUUUUUUGUUGGGAUGAGGUGGUCAGGUUGCGUCACAUUGAUUAUGUCAUGAAGUUAACUAGAGUAAGAAAUAAAGAUAUAAAGUUUCGGAGAGAAUCAAGAUCAGUUAAAGGAAAAAAAAAAGAUUAUGAAAAUAAAUUGGAAAGGAAAAGUUUAGUUAUAAGGAAUCAGAUUCACAAAGAAAUUUAAGUCUCAUCGAUUCUAGGAAACAAGUUGGAAGGAAUCAAUUUUACAAUAAUUGAACUUGGCACUAGAGAGAACCUCUGUGCCACUAAGUACUGAAUCGUUAUUGAAAUGUACUGAAGGCCAUUUGUUUGCCAUUUGUGCUCAUUAAGACCAUAAUUCUAUUCUUUUAUAGUUUUUUGGAAGAAAUAAAAAACUAGGGUGAGUUAAUAUUCUGUAAAAUAAGCUUGGAAUACCGUGCGGGGGCUUGGCUCAGAGAUCAUUGAGUUUUUCCUACAAAUUGCCUUUUAAUUUGUUUCACCUGUAAUUGGACUGGGAUUCGGUAAUUCUGUUAAGGACUUUCAUUUGGUUUAAGUUUCCCUUUUGUUUACAUAUGAGGUUCCGAGACAACAGUUGCUUGCUGUUCUUGAACAAACAUUGCUUGGAGGUUAUCCAAUGCCGAGAUCAAGGUCAGAUAAUACUAGCGUACGAUUGUGCUUAUUGCCAUUAAUUAGAAACUGCAAUAUCGUAACAUAAUUAAAAUGAGAUUAUUCUGAUUAGAGAGCAGAAGGAAUCUUCUUUCAUAAUUGGCUUUUGCGAAGAUUUAGUGUUUUUGCUGCUCCUACUUUUGGACCUGACUUGAUUCCUGACCGGUAGAAACAGCAUUAGUCCAAAAGAAGGGAAGCUUUUGUUUUCUUUAAUCACAUGAUCACAUGCCCAGCACAAAUUCAUAAAAGUGGCUCUAAUGAUUGGCUGACAACAGUUGUUCAUAAGCAAUGUUUGCGUUCCUUAUUUUUCAAUUUACAAAGUAUUUAGAACAUUCAAUACUUUUUUGUAUGCAUAACCUCCUCCAGUUGUGUUACCUUUAGUCCUGUACGAUAUUCUCCCUCUGCUAAACGUAGACGAGGAGAGGUUGCUAGAACUCGAGUCAGGAGCUUUUUCUUACUUCAAAUAAAAUUUCUGUGAUUUAUAUAUCAUAAUUUUCUAUUUGGCUGGUCAAGCAUGCAUUGUCAUAAAUAUCUCUCUGCUUCCCUGAUUAUCACUUUAUUCAC
rnacentral:lncRNA from 1 species